rnacentral:rRNA from 1 species
UACGUAGGGGGCAAGCGUUGUCCGGAAUCAUUGGGCGUAAAGAGCGUGUAGGCGGCCCGGUAAGUCCGCUGUGAAAGUCCAGGGCUCAACCCUGGGAUGCCGGUGGAUACUGUCGGGCUCGAGUCCGGAAGAGGCGAGUGGAACUCCUGGUGUAGCGGUGGAAUGCGCAGAUAUCAGGAAGAACACCAACGGCGAAGGCAGCUCGCUGGGACGGUACUGACGCUGAGACGCGAAAGCGUGGGGAGCGAACAGG